GGAGUCCAGAACUUAUUUAAAAGAGAGGACGAUUCUGCUCGAAACCCAGAGGAGAGCAUGUGAUGUUCUUCUGUUUAUGAUUGCAUAAUGAUGGGCAUCAGGAGGGCGCCUUCGCAGCUGACGGGCAUGGAAUGAAUCCUAGUGUGCACUUGGCACGUGUGCGUCUUCAAUUAGGCGAAUAUUAGAAUUAUUACAAUAAAGGUGUUAUUGGAGGCAAUCACGAUGAAUAAGCAUAGCCUCAAAUUGCAAGAAGUUAUGAUCAUCAUGUGUGCCUAGACAGCAGAGUUGUUAUUGAUGCCGGAGGUCACUUUGCAUUAUUUUCCUUCUUUUUUUUUUUUUUUUUGUCUUAUUUUAGUGUAUACAGGAAGCAACUUGAGAGGGAAAAAAAGAAAAGCAUAUGAAAAAGAUAAGUUAUUUAAAAAGAUCAAUUAUCAAUAUAUGGUUUA